GUAACUAUUAUGUUUUUUCAGACGCUGAUUGCAACUGCAAAUGGUUUAAAUUGUCCAAUCGGCGGGCGAACCCGCCGAGGAAACGAAGGUACUCAAAAGACAUGGGUAAGAGAUAGCAGGCAAAGCCUACAACUCUAGGUAAUGAUCCUUCCGCAGGUUCACCUACGGAAA
rnacentral:misc_RNA from 1 species